UUAAAUUGAAGAGUUUGAUCAUGGCUCAGAUUGAACGCUGGCGGCAGGCCUAACACAUGCAAGUCGAACGGUAACAGAAAGAAGCUUGCUUCUUUGCUGACGAGUGGCGGACGGGUGAGUAAUGUCUGGGAAACUGCCUGAUGGAGGGGGAUAACUACUGGAAACGGUA
rnacentral:rRNA from 1 species